CAUAGUUUUUAUCCGGCUCAGAUUGAACGCUGGCGGCAUGCCUUACACAUGCAAGUCGAACGGCAGCGGGGGAGAAGCUUGCUUCUCCUGCCGGCGAGUGGCGAACGGGUGAGUAAUACAUCGGAACGUGCCCUGUAGUGGGGGAUAACUAGUCGAAAGAUUAGCUAAUACCGCAUACGACCUGAGGGUGAAAGUGGGGGACCGCAAGGCCUCAUGCUAUAGGAGCGGCCGAUGUCUGAUUAGCUAGUUGGUGGGGUAAAGGCCCACCAAGGCGACGAUCAGUAGCUGGUCUGAGAGGACGAUCAGCCACACUGGGACUGAGACACGGCCCAGACUCCUACGGGAGGCAGCAGUGGGGAAUUUUGGACAAUGGGCGAAAGCCUGAUCCAGCAAUGCCGCGUGUGUGAAGAAGGCCUUCGGGUUGUAAAGCACUUUUGUCCGGAAAGAAAUGGCUCUGGUUAAUACCUGGGGUCGAUGACGGUACCGAAGAAUAG
rnacentral:rRNA from 1 species